rnacentral:rRNA from 1 species
UACAGAGGUCUCAAGCGUUGUUCGGAUUCAUUGGGCGUAAAGGGUGCGUAGGCGGCGCGGUAAGUCGGGGUGUGAAAUCUUGGAGCUUAACUCCGAAACUGCCAUUCGAUACUGCCGUGCUUGAGGACUGGAGAGGAGACUGGAAUUUACGGUGUAGCGGUGAAAUGCGUAGAUAUCGUAAGGAAGACCAGUGGCGAAGGCGGGUCUCUGGACAGUUCCUGACGCUGAGGCACGAAGGUCAGGGGGAGCAAACGGG